rnacentral:lncRNA from 1 species
CCGCUCUCCCCAGGUAUCUAGCCCCAAAGCUUUUUCAACUCUACUGCUUUCUUAUCUGCCUGCCUGGAACCCCAUCUUCACCUCCUUCAUCUCCCUCUUUCUGGUUUCCCUUCCUGGUGUCCCCGGCCUGCAACAUACUGAGUCCUGCAGCUAUGACCUUCCUCUGGCUCUCAGCUUCUCUCUUUUGAUGCUCAAGAGGUGUAAGAUUGUCACAGCCACAGCAGGGAAGAAAAACAGGCUUCUCUGUGCUCUUAUUGAUGAACUGAGGAGGCCCUUCUCAAGCCUGGCCUCCAGCUCUGGCCUCCAGGCCCUGGGAGGGGCAUUAAACACACGGCCCACCCACCCUGGCUUCAGACUCUCACAGCUUCUGUCGUCACACACUUGCCACUACACCUUCCCCUCUGGCCUCAUAAGGACCUUCAAAGUAAAUCACGGAAGGAAUCCUUAGCCUGUUUUCUUUGGAUGUGGAUAUGGAAAUUCAGCUAGAAGUUGGGGGACCCAGAACUUAGCCUGGGGACUGGUGAUUCUCUCCAGAGCCCUCGGAGCCAGAGCGGCCAGGUGCCAGGUGUGGCUGCUCAACCCCUAGGUUUUCAGUGUCCUUCUUCGGGGCCACUGUCCCUCCAGGCAGUAUGCACAGUGGUUAGGAGCCUCACUAAGAAGAGGGGCUGUGACACCUCUGGAGGUUAAUGGACGUGACAUGCAGAAUGCACCUGGAACACACCUGGCCCUAGAGAGUGCUCCACAGUGGCCUCUGCUCCCUAGCCACCAUUCUCUGUGGCGCUUUAAAAUCCGCCUGCAGGGUGAUCUCAUGUGCUGCCCUCACCGCUGGCCGGUAGGACUUACAGGAAGGAAUCAGGCCGAACCUCUGGAGUGGCACUUUUAUUCUAAGACCACUUCCAGGGAUGAAGGAGGAAAGACGUAGUCAUCUGCUUGCCCCAGCUCACAGCCGGACGCUGCGGCUUUUGGAAAAUAGCCACCAUGAAGCCGGUGGCCCUGGUCCCCCUCUCGAGGUAUCAUAAAGCCAUUCAUAACGGCAUAAACGCCUGACAACACUCCCUGAUGCCAGCCCGGGCAUCAAGUUGAAGCCCUUUCAAGCGAUCAUCGGCUCCCUGGGAAAUGCCUUUUCUCUGUUACCUGGCACAGCCGAACAUCAAGAAGAAACGUGGAAAACAUCACACUGACCCCCCAGAAAAAUGAAAGAAAAGUACGGAAGAGACCAAUUCCCACCCUUGCUAUAGACGGAAUAAGUAUGUGCGUUUGUGAACCUUAAGUGUUCAUCUAAAUAUGUUGCUUCAACGGAGAUCCGCUUGUGGAUACAGACACACGAAAAUACACGAGACCACGCUCUAUUUUAAGGAAUUGCUGAAGAGUGUUGAACACUCAAACCCACCGCACAGCACCCUCGCAGCUAAGAGCACAAUUGAAUGAAACCAGCGGAUUCAUUUAUUUUAACCUCCACUGGAGCUGUCCCAAAAAAGCAGGUGGCUAUUGAAAGUGUUUUUCUGUUUUUGUCUUUUUUUUUUAAUUCUAAAUAACAAGAGGGAUAAAAAUUAAUGUCGUUCUAUGGGGUCUGAACAUGAAAAGGUACGAGAGAGUGAGCCAGGGCCUGUGAAAUGGCUAAACGGAUUAGUAGCCUUACUUUUCAACAUAUAAACAUCUGAAACCCGUUUCCUGUUUAAGAAAAAAAAAGUCUAGGUGGAUGACCUCGGGCACUUUUUUUUUAUUAACAAAUGUGAAUUGUACAUCAUGGUGGGAAAAAAAAAAAAUGGUCCGCUCUUGGUGGUCUUUCUACAGUCUGUAUAUGGGAGACAGAGAAAAAAAUACAAAAAUAAACGUUACCUUCUCACUUGCAGGGUGGGCAAUGCCAUUUCUGCAGCCGUCCAGGGCUCUGGCAAAUGUUAAGGCUGUCACUGUAGACAGAAUCCCCAUGGUCUGUCUGUGUGCCUCGAUAGAGUCCGAAGAAAAACAUUCCUCGCAUUCCUGACGGUUGGUCCUAUCUCCGGGCCUUGGACUCGGCCCUGCAGGCUCGUGUCACCCCGUCAAACGGCCUAGGCCACGGCUAAUCUAAACCGCUGCCCUCCCCAGCCAGCCCUGCGGCAGGGUGAAAACUGGGACCAAUUUGCUGCCUAAACCCUGAGGAUACAGCAAGUUUGAUUCUCGACCUUUAAGGACACCAGCUGCAAUUUGUUCCGCCGAAAAGAGCUUAGCGGUUCUGGCACAUUCUGACAAGAUACAUUUUAUAGGGUUUGUGCUCAAAUUUGAUAUUGGAAGUUAGGAUUCCAAUUUUAUGCCUCCAGUGAUAACAAUAGCAGCUGGGACCUUUAAGAAAUGUGUGUGUAUGCCUUCUAUUGAAGAGUUACAUAACAAAAGCUAUUUAUGUCAAACACCUUAUAAGGGAAAGAUUUAGCCUAAAUGUCAACAUAACAUAUAAUACUUUUUCAUAUUUAGAUAGGACGAAAACAUCUGCUAUCAGUGCUGCAUAUAAUUUUUGGUUUGGAGUAUUAGAUCUGUGGGGGCUUUCAACAUUUCAAGUAAGCAUCUCCUUGCCUUAAUUUACGAAUUCAUCGAGGGGCCUUUUUUUCAAUAUUGUUUCUGUAUAAAAAACAAAUACCGAUACAUCAUGAUUUGGUUUUCCAAGUCCUUCUAAUGAACGCACACAAAAGAAGGGCACAAUUUCAUGUUGUUUGAUUUGACAUUUGUAAUUCCCAAGCAUGCCAUGAAGCCAUUCAGUGGUGCCUUAUAAACCGAGGCUGCUUUUGUCUCCUGAAAAUGGCUGUGGUUUUGGAGAGGACCUGGCUGACCAGAACCUUGGUAAUUCUGAUGAAGGAAGAGAUCAGCCGCUCAAGGAAGAAAACCUUUCCCAGCAAAGGAACAGCAGCGCCCAGUUCAAGACAACAUCUGCAGCUCGAUUUUGGAGGGGCUUAAAUUCCCUCCAGCUUCCCUAGUGACACCACAGCAAGCUUUCUGAGAAGGAAUCCCACCACCAAAUAGACAAUGACUCUUGUUUACACCAGACGCUUAGGAGUGACCACACGUGGGCCUGUGAGGCAGGCUUGGCUGGAAAAUCCCAGCUUCCCUCUUAGCUUUUCUGCUCAGACGGCAGAACCUAACUGAGAUGGGAAGAGAACCCCAAUUAGCAAAGCCAGGGAUUCGCCUGCACCCAUGCAUGUGCCGGUUCCGUCCGUCCCCUUGCUUCAGGUUUCUUUGACGAAUUGGACGGUGUGACCACGGGUUAAUGAGAAAGCCCAGUGGACGGCGGCACGCACGGUCAUCUGGAUGUUCUCUGCUCCUGCCCCAGCCCCUGAGCCUCCCACUGUGGACCACAGCCCCCGUUGGGGAACACAGAGGUCACGGGGGCCAAAUGCAAAUACCACUUCUCCUUGGGACCUGUUGGAACCAGGCGACACCAACUUAAACUUGGCAAAACGCAAGUUCAAUUUCUUUUGUUCUGAAGUCACAACUUGGAUGUAACAGCUCCUAAGCCAAUAUGAUCUGAAAAAGAACUCACUACUGAGCUGCCCCCUUCCCACGGUCCGAAAAUUGCUUCAGCCUAAACGGAAGGCAAUUUCCUUUUCUUUUAUAACAAGAGAACCGCUAAGCUUCUCUUAGUAUUUCCACCCAGUGUCACCACUAAAUACCAGCACUUACAAAAAGAUCCCUCGUUGUGUCAACUGCCAGGCUGUCUAAUACGCUGAAUUUUAAAUAUGUUGGCUACAUGAUUAUUGUCAGAGAGAAUCAUGCUCCAGAUAAGGACCAGGAAGUGCAUCUAGAGACAGCAUGAAUAUUUAGAAUAAAAAUGCGCUGCUCCAGAGGUUUCUGCAGAGACUUAGAUUUGAAACAAUGGCUUUCUGUGUGCUGUGUCCCAUCCACUCAGUGACAUUGAUGCUGACUGUCAUUAUCUACAUUUCACAUCAGAGGAGAUGGAAGGAAAGGAAGAUUCAGUUUCACAAGGGGAGAACAUAACAGAUGAGGCUCGAAGGUAAAUAAUAAUAAUUGUAUGAAUAACCACCUUUACGGAGUUAUUACCAGAUGCCAGGAGUUUUCUACUCCUGUUAUACCAUCAUACGUGGAAAGACUCAUUUGACCCCCACAACAACCCAGGAGGAGGGACUAUUAUUAGCUUCACUUUGUAGAUGAGGAAACUGAGGCAGACAGAGGCCAGCCCAUCGCUGAAGACCAGGCUGCUGGAGAGUGACAAAGUGUCAGAGUCAGGAGCUCAAGCCAGGCUGUCCACUGGCAGAGCUGGAAAAACAGGAGAUAAACAUCAGCAGCGAGAGCCCAGGUCACACUGCCCGGGAUCACACCCCAGACUGCCAACUGGGUGAAUGAACCAUUCUGAGCCUUAGUUUGCUCUUCUAUAAACCGGGGAGAGCAAUGGUCCCUACCUCAUGGGUUUUUUAUUGGGAUUGCAUAAAAUAGGCCCUGAAAAGUGCUGGACGUGCCCGGCAAACAUGAGUGCUGUGCAUGCGGUCUGGGCUGGCUGCCCACCUGCCCAAAGCUCAUUCCUCUCACUGACCAGGUCAUGACUGCAACGUUUGCUCCAGGAAUCCAUCUGAGAACUCUGUCCAUGUUCUCAAAUGCCUGGAUGGCGAGGUGGCUGAGGGCAGUAUCGUGCGGUCCCCAGCAGCCAGGACUCAGCCCAGCUGACCUGUCCCCAGCCAGCAGAAGAGGAUCCGCAGAUGCCCGCAGGAAGGGGACGCAUUGCCAGGUCCACCAGCUCUCCCACAGACAGCUCCAGGCCUCACUGCUGAGUCUGUGUCCUAUAUACAAUGUCAUCUGAGGGUGGCACCGAACACCUGGCUGGCUUGCUGGCCACCCACCACCCUUUCAGCCACCCUGGCUGCCCUCUGGUUUCUAUCGCGUCUGUUAAAAGGCAGACCCCUCUGGAUGCUUUCCUCCACUCUUUCAAAGUGCCCCCACCCUCACCCUUCAAACAUCAAGUUGAUGGUUGUACCAUGAGCCACAGGAACAAUAAACAGCCCGGAAGCCACUCCACUCAAGGUCUCGAGGCCCUCCCGACAGCCGGCCGCCUGCCCUGCCACGGAGGCUGGGCAGCACAGCUGGGGGCUUGAGAGCUGGUUCAAAUCCUGUGUCUGCCCCCUGCGAGCUAUGUUUGCUCAGAGUCUCACUCUGUCAUCCAGACUCUCCACCCAGUGGCGUGAUGAUCAUAGCUCAUUGCAGCCUUGAACUCCUGAGCUCAAGCAAUCCUCCCACCUCAGCCUCCCAAGUAGCUGGGACCACAGGCAUGUCCCACCACACCUGGCUCUUUCCUCCUGGCCUCAAGCAAUCCUCCCACCUCAGCUUCCCAAAGUGCUGGGAUUACAGGUGUGAGCCACCAUGCCCAGCCGGACUCCAGUUAUAAUUCAAGAUUGACAUGGACGGGUAGAGGUCCCAAUCUUGAGGUCCCUACCAUACUGAGGUCCCUAUCAAUCAUAUUGUACUGUUUGGCCAAUAACAGUUAAGCAGGGGCCUGGCAUUGAAGUUCUGCCUCAGCAGUGGUGAGCGCCAAGGCUGCUGAAGAAGAGACUGAGAGAGGACUAAGUGACACCUUGAAUUUAUCCCAAAAGACAGAAGCCGGUCUGGGAAGGCUGGAAAAUGGGGUGCGUUCAAGGGAGCCCCGCUGUCUGGGAUCCUGGAAGGUCACAGGAAGGCUUCAGACCGUGGCAGAUUGUCCAGAGGACAGAGUUAACUGAUACCAGCAGGUCAGGGCAUCCACGUCAAGAACACGAUUUAGGAAUCUGGUGUUUUUCCAAAUACACUGAGAGUCGAAAUUGGAAGUGUGGCCAUCUCUGGGAUAGUAUUCUGAGGUGGGUGCAGGAUUUGCAGGGAGGACCCUCUGGGUGUCCACAUAUGUGACAGUCUUCAAGCUAUACAUUUAAGGUUUGUGUACUCUGUACCCUAUUCCUGUAUGUAAGAUGCAUUUUAAUUGCAACUUAUAAUUAAGUAAAAAUUAAAAGAAAGAAAAAAAUUAAAAGCCAAGAAAGAUAAAUCUACAGUAGUCCCCGCCUAUCUGCAGUUUUGCUUUCCGAGGUUUCAGUUACCCUCGGUCAAUGGGGGUCUGAAAAUAGGUGAGCACAGUACAAUAAGACAUUUAGAGAGAGAGAGAGGGAGAGAGAGGGAGAGAGAGGGAG